rnacentral:lncRNA from 1 species
CAGAAGUUUCCCUCAACUACCUCUUUUUCUUUACAUUAUUAAGGAAGAAAUGGAUUAGAUUAAUGGUGGAUUACAACAGAGCAGCCUUGAGACCAACCUAAAGAAACAAAAGAAAACUAACACGGCAGCCCCUGGUAUGUAAACAAAAACAAAAAUUACAAAUGCCACCCCCAUCGAGUUUUCAAUCACAAAAGGCAAUUCCAAGCCAACAAGGCUCCCGCUUUGCGAGUUUUCCAUCGUAGAUAAGAUAAAAGCAAAAUAUAUAUAUAUAUAUAUAUAUAUAUAUAUAUAUAUAUAUAUAUAUAUAUAUAUAUAUAUAUAUAUAUAUAUAUAUAUAUAUACAUUCAUACGAAAACAAGAAAGAGUAUCCUGAAAAACUUUGGUAGCCACCAUGUAUUCCUGAAGUCAGUUCUCACUUCUCACUGUACAAAAAAGACAAAGGGAUAGAAGUCCCACCUUUUUUGAGACCCCAACAAAAAGUUGCAAACUUUCAACAGCUAAAUAAUGAAUAUUAAAAUUCAAAAGUCUCAUGAGGCCUUUCCUUUAAAGAUUCCCAGUUCUCAACCCACCAAUUUGUCAAGCAAAACAGUGAUCAGAUCCAACUGGUUGGAGCCAAGAAAAUUAAAUAAAAGAAAAAAAGGGAAAAUCCCCACAGAUUUUGAAGUCUGCAG